rnacentral:rRNA from 1 species
AACCCAAAUUAAUUACACUCGGCGUAAAACGUGCCAACAAUCACGAACUAUAAAUAGAAUUUAAAAUCAACCAAUAUGUGAAAAUUAAUUGUUGUAAUUAAAAUCACUGACGAAAGUAAUUCUAAUUAUUUAAUGCACGACAGCUAAGACACAAACUGGGAUUAGAUACCCCACUAUGCUUAGUCUUAAACUUCAAUAAUUUUCAAAAACAAAAUUAUUUGCCAGAGAACUACUAGCCACCGCUUAAAACUCAAAGGACUUGGCGGUACUUUAUAUCCACCUAGAGGAGCCUGUUCUAUAAUCGAUAUACCCCGAUACACCUCACCACCCCUUGCUAAUG